rnacentral:lncRNA from 1 species
UGCCCUGGGAGCAGAGUGAGGAGAGGGAGAGGGGAGAGAGGAGGCUGGAAAUCACCAAAAGCCACAACUACUGAAGUCAGGUCUCUGCCAUGUGCUGGGUGACCUUAGUUCCGAGCUGGAGUCCCUGCAUCAAGCCGUUCCUGAAGCCAGCGUCCUUGAAUAUGUUUCCUUCAGCUAUGAGAGCCAGCUCCCCUGCUUUUCACUAAGGCAACUCCUGUUGGCCAGCACUCCCCAGACCAGCGCCACCUCCUCUAAGACGCCUCCUCUGCCUCCCCUCCCCCAGGCGGUUCUGGGGGCUUCUGUCUUUCCUUGCGUUCAAGACGCACCAGGAUCCGAAGCAUCAACCACAAGGAACGAACAACACCCCGAUUACACCACCGUAACACGAGACUUUGUUCAGGGUUCCUGCCCCUGGUUGCUCACUGACCACAGGACUGUAACCGCCAAGUCCCAGCACAGCGCCCGGCGAGGACCUGAGCAUGAACCCCCCUCCCCGGUGACCCAGGGCACUGCUCCGGGCUGGUGGCCGUGAGCCAAGUGGCUGCUUCCGGGGGCUGGUGGCAGAAGUGCCCUCGCCCACUCUGGCCCAGCCCUUCCUGUCCCCAUCUGUGCCCUCGCCGCAGCCUCUGCCACCGGCAGCUGGCACCUGCUGCAGGGACGGAAGCAGGGGUGGCCACCUCGGGGCCUGAGUGUCUGGUGCUGGACCUCGAAGCCCCACGGGAUGCUCAGACUCCACCCUGAGGAGGGGCUGGCGUGGGGCACCCGAUGGCUUUACCCCCCCAGGACUGCGGUGGACCACAGGGCCUUUGAACUGGCCCUUUUUAUUUUUUGAGGGUCUCACUAAGUCACUAAAGUUGCACAGGCUGAGCUCCAACAUGGUGAUCUUCCUGCCUCAGCCUCCGAGUGCUGGAUGACAGGCGUGCACCAUCACCCAGCUCCGAUAACUACUUCGAAAAUAACCACCUUUUAACCACAGCCCUGCUCAGUGCUACCAUGCUGGGCCCUCUUAAGGGUGGGAGGAGGUCAAGGUUGCCAUGUUGUCCCUUCCACAG